rnacentral:rRNA from 1 species
CGAAGAUACCAGCUGGCUGCAACUGUUUAAUAAAAACACAGCACUGUGCAAACACGAAAGUGGACGUAUACGGUGUGACGCCUGCCCGGUGCUGGAAGGUUAAUUGAUGGGGUCAGCCGCAAGGCGAAGCUCUUGAUCGAAGCCCCAGUAAACGGCGGCCGUAACUAUAACGGUCCUAAGGUAGCGAAAUUCCUUGUCGGGUAAGUUCCGACCUGCACGAAUGGCGUAAUGAUGGCCAGGCUGUCUCCACCCGAGACUCAGUGAAAUUGAACUCGCUGUGAAGAUGCAGUGUACCCGCGGCAAGACGGAAAGACCCCGUGAACCUUUACUAUAGCUUGACACUGAACAUUGAGCCUUGAUGUGUAGGAUAGGUGGGAGGCUUUGAAGCGUGGACGCCAGUCUGCGUGGAGCCAUCCUUGAAAUACCACCCUUUAAUGUUUGAUGUUCUAACUCGGCCCCAUAAUCUGGGGUGAGGACAGUGUCUGGUGGGUAGUUUGACUGGGGCGGUCUCCUCCCAAAGAGUAACGGAGGAGCACGAAGGUUAGCUAAUCACGGUCGGACAUCGUGAGGUUAGUGCAAAGGCAUAAGCUAGCUUGACUGCGAGAGUGACGGCUCGAGCAGGUACGAAAGUAGGUCUUAGUGAUCCGGUGGUUCUGAAUGGAAGGGCCAUCGCUCAACGGAUAAAAGGUACUCCGGGGAUAACAGGCUGAUACCGCCCAAGAGUUCAUAUCGACGGCGGUGUUUGGCACCUCGAUGUCGGCUCAUCACAUCCUGGGGCUGAAGUAGGUCCCAAGGGUAUGGCUGUUCGCCAUUUAAAGUGGUACGCGAGCUGGGUUUAGAACGUCGUGAGACAGUUCGGUCCCUAUCUGCCGUGGGCGUUGGAAGAUUGAGAGGGGUUGCUCCUAGUACGAGAGGACCGGAGUGAACGCACCACUGGUGUUCGGGUUGUCAUGCCAAUGGCAUUGCCCGGUAGCUAAGUGCGGAAAAGAUAAGCGCUGAAAGCAUCUAAGCGCGAAACUUGCCUCAA